GAUGAACGCUGGCGGCGUGCUUAACACAUGCAAGUCGAGCGAAGCACUUAAGUUUGAUUCUUCGGAUGAAGACUUUUGUGACUGAGCGGCGGACGGGUGAGUAACGCGUGGGUAACCUGCCUCAUACAGGGGGAUAACAGUUAGAAAUGGCUGCUAAUACCGCAUAAGACCACAGUACUGCAUGGUACAGUGGUAAAAACUCCGGUGGUAUGAGAUGGACCCGCGUCUGAUUAGGUAGUUGGUGAGGUAACGGCCCACCAAGCCGACGAUCAGUAGCCGACCUGAGAGGGUGACCGGCCACAUUGGGACUGAGACACGGCCCAGACUCCUACGGGAGGCAGCAGUGGGGAAUAUUGCACAAUGGGCGAAAGCCUGAUGCAGCGACGCCGCGUGAAGGAUGAAGUAUUUCGGUAUGUAAACUUCUAUCAGCAGGGAAGAAAAUGACGGUAC
rnacentral:rRNA from 1 species